CUCCGGUUGAUCCUGCCGGACCUGACUGCUAUCGGAUUGGUACUAAGCCAUGCGAGUCGUUGUAGCAAUACAAGGCGGACGGCUCAGUAACACGUAGUCAACCUAACUCGUGGACGUGGAUAACCUCGGGAAACUGAGAAUAAACCACGAUAGACCAUAGUGCCUGGAAUGGCUUAUGGUCCAAACAGUUUACUGCCAUGGGAUGGGACUGCGGCCUAUCAGCUUGUUGGUGAGGUAAUGGCCCACCAAGGCGAUUACAGGUACGGGCUCUGAGAGGAGAAGCCCGGAGAUGGGUACUGAGACACGGACCCAGGCCCUAUGGGGCGCAGCAGGCGAGAAACCUUAGCAAUGUGCGAAAGCACGACUGGGUCAGUCCGAGUGAUUCCUGAUAAAGGAGUCUUUUGCUUGUCCUAAAAGCACAGGUGAAUAAGGGGUGGGCAAGUCUGGUGUCAGCCGCCGCGGUAAUACCAGCACCUCGAGUGGUCAGGACGUUUAUUGGGCCUAAAGCAUCCGUAGCCGGCUUUGCAAGUCUUCGGUUAAAUCCACCUGCUCAACAGAUGGGCUGCUGGAGAUACUACAAAGCUAGGGAGUGGGAGAGGCAGACGGUAUUCAGUGGGUAGGGGUAAAAUCCUCUGAUCCAUUGAGGACCACCAGUGGCGAAGGCGGUCUGCCAGAACACGUUCGACGGUGAGGGAUGAAAGCUGGGGGAGCAAACCGGAUUAGAUACCCGGGUAGUCCCAGCUGUAAACGAUGCAAACUCGGUGAUGCAUUGGCUUAUGGCCAAUGCAGUGCCGCAGGGAAGCCGUUAAGUUUGCCGCCUGGGAAGUACGGACGCAAGUCUGAAACUUAAAGGAAUUGGCGGGGGAGCA
rnacentral:rRNA from 1 species